rnacentral:rRNA from 1 species
UACGUAUGUCCCAAGCGUUAUCCGGAUUUAUUGGGCGUAAAGGGUACGUAGACGGUUGAUUAAGUCUGAGGUGAAAUCCCGGAGCUCAACUCCGGAAUUGCAUUGGAAACUGUUUAACUUGAGUGCAGUAGAGGUAAGUGGAAUUCCAUGUGUAGCGGUGAAAUGCGUAGAUAUAUGGAGGAACACCAGUGGCGAAGGCGGCUUACUGG